GCAACAAAAUGGCUGCAACUUGCAACAAAAUCUGAUUUCAACGCAUGUUAAGUAGAAAUGUAAACACAUGUUGCCUUGUGAUUUGUAAUUUAUGUGUAAACAUGUGUAAACAUUUUCAAUUAACAUGCGUUGAAAUCAGAUUUUGUUGCAAGUUGCAGCAAUUUUGUUG